UACGUAGGGUGCAAGCGUUAAUCGGAAUUACUGGGCGUAAAGCGUGCGCAGGCGGUUGUGCAAGACAGAUGUGAAAUCCCCGGGCUCAACCUGGGAAUUGCAUUUGUGACUGCACGGCUAGAGUGUGUCAGAGGGGGGUAGAAUUCCACGUGUAACAGUGAAAUGCGUAGAGAUGUGGAGGAAUACCGAUGGCGAAGGCAGCCCCCUGGGAUAACACUGACGCUCAUGCACGAAAGCGUGGGGAGCAAACAGG
rnacentral:rRNA from 1 species